GACGAACGCUGGCGGCAUGCCUAAUACAUGCAAGUCGAACGCUGAAGCACUCUGCUUGCCGAGUGCGGAUGAGUGGCGAACGGGUGAGUAACACGUGGGAAAUCUGCCUAUAAGAGGGGGAUAACAUUCGGAAACGGAUGCUAAUACCGCAUAUAUUCUUGGACCGCCUGGUCCUUGACAGAAAGACGGCUUUGCUGUCGCUUAUAGAUGAUCCCGCGGCGUAUUAGUUAGUUGGUGGGGUAAAGGCCUACCAAGACAAUGAUACGUAGCCGACCUGAGAGGGUGAUCGGCCACACUGGGACUGAGACACGGCCCAGACUCCUACGGGAGGCAGCAGUAGGGAAUCUUCCACAAUGGGCGAAAGCCUGAUGGAGCAAUGCCGCGUGAAUGAAGAAGGUCUUCGGAUCGUAAAGUUCUGUUAGUAGAGAAGAACAAGUCAAGGAGUAACUGUCUUGACUUUGACGGUACCUAACCAGAAAGUCACGGCUAACUACGUG
rnacentral:rRNA from 1 species